UACGUAGGGGGCUAGCGUUGUCCGGAAUCAUUGGGCGUAAAGAGCGCGUAGGCGGCUAGUUAAGUCCGGUGUGAAAGUCACAGGCUCAACCUGUGAAUGCCGCUGGAAACUGUGUGACUAGAGUUCUGGAGGGGUAGCUGGAAUUCCAGGUGUAGGGGUGAAAUCUGUAGAUAUCUGGAAGAACAUCAGUGGCGAAGGCGAGCUACUAGCCAAGGACUGACGCUGAGACACGAAAGCGUGGGGAGCAAACAGG
rnacentral:rRNA from 1 species